AACGCACAUUGCGCCCUUUGGUAUUCCAAAGGGCAUGCCUGUUCGAGCGUCAUUUGUACCCUCAAGCUUUGCUUGGUGUUGGGCGUCUUUGUCUCUCACGAGACUCGCCUUAAAAUGAUUGGCAGCCGACCUACUGGUUUCGGAGCGCAGCACAAUUCUUGCACUUUGAAUCAGCCUUGGUUGAGCAUCCAUCAAGACCACAUUUUUUUCAACUUUUGACCUCGGAUCAGGUAGGGAUACCCGCUGAACUUAA
rnacentral:misc_RNA from 1 species